rnacentral:lncRNA from 1 species
AUGAAGCAAUUUUGUUAUGUGGAAACUGAUUUUCUCUUUAUAUUAGAGAAUCAUCAGAUUUAUAAAACAUUUCAGCUCCUCUUUUAUAAAAAGCUGGAAGAAAUAUUACCUUUCUUGCAAAGAUAUCAGAGACUGAGAAGAGAAGAGUAGGGAUGGAGUGUGGAUUCCCAGAAGACCAUUACAGGACUUGUGGAGGCUCCCCAGCAACGAAAGAAAAGAAAACAGACAUUAAAUAUAGCAAAGCGAACACCAUGUUACAAAACGAUCCUAAAAACCUUCUGAUUUGCCUACAUAGAUGCUAUGUUGGGAUCCCUGCCUCCUAAACAUGAAGAGUCUUUUCUGAGUAUCUGAGUAAUUCCACCAUCCUAGGUACAACACAAAACCUGACAUGGAAUCCAUCCCCCCACCAUCACCCUCUGCCUCAGGGAUCUAGGAAAUGAAUCAAAGAUUCCUCAAGACAAAAUUUGUAAAAUGAUUCAUGAAUGUUACAUUUUAAGAUACUGGCACAUAUUUUUAUAGUAUGAGAAAUCUACAGAACAUUUUUUAAACCCCUGUGGAAUGAAUUAUUUUGGUAAUUUCAAAAAAAACAUGGUUUUUUGACAGUGAGAAGACCACACAUUGCUUGCCCACAAUGUCAUCCUGACCCACAGUAAGAAGACCAUCCAUAAAAACGUCAGCAUUAAACUGGCAAAACGAAACAGCAAAAGAUCAUGAAAGUUCAGCUGUAUUUUAAAGACAUUGAUUUCUUGACUUUCCAAAGGACUUUUUCCUAAAGAAAAUUGCAGAUGAUGGAGAACUACUGUUAAUGUUAAUUAAGUGGGGACAGCUAUGUUUUCUUUAAGCAAACCAAACUCCCAAAUUCACUUAACAGGAGAGAAUAUGCAUUUCUGCAAAAGUUCCAGAAUCUAAGCUCACAAACUAGAGAGGGUAAUCUGCAUAAAGGAUUGUUACAGAUGCACAAAAAGUUUCAGAAAGACUUUGAUUCAAAUGAAUAAAAUGAAUUAGAGCUGCCAGAUUUCAGAUGCUUGAUUC